AACGAACGCUGGCGGCAUGCCUAACACAUGCAAGUCGAACGAUCCCUUCGGGGAUAGUGGCGCACGGGUGCGUAACGCGUGGGAACCUGCCCUUAGGUUCGGAAUAACUCAGAGAAAUUUGAGCUAAUACCGGAUAAUGUCUUCCGACCAAAGAUUUAUCGCCUUUGGAUGGGCCCGCGUUGGAUUAGCUAGUUGGUGGGGUAAAGGCCUACCAAGGCGACGAUCCAUAGCUGGUCUGAGAGGAUGAUCAGCCACACUGGGACUGGGACACGGCCGAGAAUCCUGCGGGAGGCAGCAGUGGGGAAUAUUGGACAAUGGGCGAAAGACUGAUCCAGCAAUGCCGCGUGAGUGAUGAAGGCCUGAGGGUUGUAAAGCUAUUUUACCCGGGAUGAUAAUGACAGUACCGGGAGAAUAAGCCCCGGCUAACUCCGUG
rnacentral:rRNA from 1 species